UACGGGGGGGGCAAGCGUUGUUCGGAAUUACUGGGCGUAAAGCGCACGUAGGCGGUCUUGAAAGUUGGAUGUGAAAUCCCUCGGCUUAACCAAGGAAGUGCAUCCAAAACUCCAGUACUUGAGUACUUAAGAGGAUCGCGGAAUUCCCGGUGUAGAGGUGAAAUUCGUAGAUAUCGGGAGGAACACCAGUGGCGAAGGCGGCGAUCUGGGAAGAUACUGACGCUGAGGUGCGAAAGCGUGGGGAGCAAACAGG
rnacentral:rRNA from 1 species